AACGAACGCUGGCGGCAUGCCUAACACAUGCAAGUCGAACGAGACCUUCGGGUCUAGUGGCGCACGGGUGCGUAACGCGUGGGAACCUGCCCUUAGGUUCGGAAUAACUCCCCGACAGGGGUGCUAAUACCGGAUAAUGUCUUCGGACCAAAGAUUUAUCGCCUUUGGAUGGGCCCGCGUUGGAUUAGCUAGUUGGUAGGGUAAAAGCCUACCAAGGCGACGAUCCAUAGCUGGUCUGAGAGGAUGAUCAGCCACACUGGGACUGAGACACGGCCCAGACUCCUACGGGAAGCAGCAGUGGGGAAUAUUGGACAAUGGGCGAAAGCCUGAUCCAGCAAUGCCGCGUGAGUGAUGAAGGCCUUAGGGUUGUAAAGCUCUUUUACCCGGGAUGAUAAUGACAGUACCGGGAGAAUAAGCGCCGGCUAACUCCGUG
rnacentral:rRNA from 1 species